rnacentral:lncRNA from 1 species
AGCUGUGACCAGGGAAGGCUUAGGUGUCCGAGAAAAGCAGGGCACCUGCCCCAGCGUGGACAUACCCAAGCUCGGCCUCUGUGAGGACCAGUGUCAGGUGGACAGCCAGUGUUCUGGCAACAUGAAAUGCUGCCGCAAUGGAUGUGGGAAGAUGGCCUGCACCACACCCAAAUUCUGAGCUUCAGCCUCCAGCAGCCUGAGGAAUGGAGAGAGGUUGUUUCUGCCGGACUGUGCAUCUGGAGUCGUUCCUGUGGCCUCCUUUCUCUCUGGUCUUUGCAUUUCUUCCUGGUCCGAUGAAAGCAUCUCCUUUUUCUAACCAAUAAAGUGAUCGCUUUCAGC